UACGAGGGGGGCAAGCGUUGUUCGGAAUUAUUGGGCGUAAAGAGCUCGUAGGCGGUUUGUCGCGUCUGCCGUGAAAGUCCGGGGCUCAACUCCGGAUCUGCGGUGGGUACGGGCAGACUAGAGUGAUGUAGGGGAGACUGGAAUUCCAGGUGUAGCGGUGAAAUGCGUAGAUAUCUGGAGGAAUACCGGUGGCGAAGGCGGCAUCCUGGACCGACAUUGACGCUGAACGGCGAAAGCUAGGGAGCGAAACAGGG
rnacentral:rRNA from 1 species